AAUGUGUGGAUUUAAGACCGGGACGUGUCAAGAGACUGGGGCUAUCUGGGGAGUGUCCAAAGCGGCGUGGACAGUUACCAUAAUUUUUGCUCAGUUUUACAUGGUCUUUAAUGCCGCUGUUGAUGUUAACACAUGCAACCAAAGAAUUUUGGCGACAUUAAAAGAAUAAUCUCUAUGCAUCGGACACGACUAGUUGAUGCUGCAGACUUGGCCGUGC